GACGAACGCUGGCGGCGUGCCUAAUACAUGCAAGUCGAACGCAGUGGUGACGGGUGAGUAACACGUGGGUAACCUCCCAUCAGGGGGGAUACCACUUGGCAACAGGUGCUAAACCGAUACUGAUGGAUGAAGACGCGGUGCAUUAGCACGUUGGUGGGGUAACGGGUCACAAAGGCCACGAUGCAUCCACGAACGGUGAGGGGGAUAGGUCACAUGGGGACUGAGACAGGGCCCAGACACCUACGGCAGGCAGCAGUAGGGAACGGUCGGCAACGGAGGAAAGUCUGACCGAGCAACGCAGCGUGAGUGAAGAAGGUUUUGGGAUGGUAAAACUCGGUUGUUGGAGAAGCGGUAUCUAACCAGAAAGCAACGGCUAACUACGUGCCAGCAGCCGCGGUAAUAC
rnacentral:rRNA from 1 species